rnacentral:rRNA from 1 species
CUCGUAGGCGGCCAACUAAGUCAGACGUGAAAUCCCUCGGCUUAACCGGGGAACUGCGUCUGAUACUGGAUGGCUUGAAUCCGGGAGAGGGAUGCGGAAUUCCAGGUGUAGCGGUGAAAUGCGUAGAUAUCUGGAGGAACACCGGUGGCGAAGGCGGCAUCCUGGACCGGCAUUGACGCUGAGGAGCGAAAGCCAGGGGAGCAAACGG